CCUACGGGGGGCAGCAGUGGGGAAUAUUGCGCAAUGGGGGAAACCCUGACGCAGCAACGCCGCGUGCGGGAUGAAGGCUUUCGGGUUGUAAACCGCUUUCAGCAGGGAAGAUAAUGACGGUACCUGCAGAAGAAGCCCCGGCUAACUACGUGCCAGCAGCCGCGGUAAUACGUAGGGGGCAAGCGUUAUCCGGAUUCAUUGGGCGUAAAGCGCGCGCAGGCGGGCCGCUAAGCGGGACCUCUAAUCUUGGGGCUCAACCUCAAGCCGGGUCCCGAACUGGCAGCCUCGAGUGCGGUAGGGGUAAG
rnacentral:rRNA from 1 species